rnacentral:tRNA from 1 species
UUAGCUCAGUUGGGAGAGCAUCGCCCUUACAAGGCGAGGGUCACUGGUUCAAGUCCA